AAUGAACGCUGGCGGCGUGCUUAAGACAUGCAAGUCGUACGAGAAAGCCCGCAAGGGUGAGUAAAGUGGCGCACGGGUGAGUAAUACUUAGGUAACGUACCCAAUCGCUGGGGAUAACUAGGCGAAAGCUUAGCUAAUACCGAAUGAUCCGGGGAGGCGCGAGUCUCUACCGGUAAAGCCGUAAGGCGCGAUUGGAGCGGCCUAAGUCCCAUUAGCUAGAUGGCGGAGUAAAAGCCCACCAUGGCUACGAUGGGUAGCUGGUCUGAGAGGAUGAUCAGCCACACUGGUACUGGAACACGGACCAGACUCCUACGGGAGGCUGCA
rnacentral:rRNA from 1 species